AUUGAACGCUGGCGGCAGGCCUAACACAUGCAAGUCGAGCGGGAACUUCGGUUCUAGCGGCGGACGGGCGAGUAAUGCGUAGGAAGCUACCCGACAGAGGGGGAUACCAGUUGGAAACGACUGUUAAUACCGCAUAAUGUCUACGGACCAAAGUGUGGGACCUUCGGGCCACAUGCUGUCGGAUGCGCCUACGUGGAAUUAGCUAGUUGGUGAGGUAAUGGCUCACCAAGGCGACGAUCCCUAGCUGGUUUGAGAGGAUGAUCAGCCACACUGGAACUGAGACACGGGCCAGACUCCUACGGGAGGCAGCAGUGGGGAAUAUUGGACAAUGGGCGAAAGCCUGAUCCAGCCAUGCCGCGUGUGUGAAGAAGGCCUUCGGGUUGUAAAGCACUUUCAGUAGGGAGGAAGAGUUGAGUGUUAAUAGUACUCAGCUUUGACGUUACCUACAGAAGAAGCACCGGCUAACUCUGUGCCAGCCGCCGCGGUAAAAC
rnacentral:rRNA from 1 species